GAUGAACGCUAGCGGCAGGCUUAAUACAUGCAAGUCGAGGGGCAGCACAGAUAGCAAUAUUGGGUGGCGACCGGCAAACGGGUGCGGAACACGUACACAACCUUCCUUUUGGUGGGGGAUAGCCUUUGGAAACGGAGAUUAAUACCCCAUAAGAUAUUGGGACCGCAUGGUUUUGAUAUUAAAGAUUUAUUGCCAGAAGAUGGGUGUGCGUAUGAUUAGGUAGUUGGUGAGGUAAAGGCUCACCAAGCCGACGAUCAUUAACUGGUGUGAGGGCACGACCAGUCACACGGGCACUGAGACACGGGCCCGACUCCUACGGGAGGCAGCAGUAAGGAAUAUUGGUCAAUGGACGGAAGUCUGAACCAGCCAUGCCGCGUGGAGGAUGAAGGUCCUCUGGAUUGUAAACUUCUUUUAUAUGGGGCGAAAAAGGGCCAUUCUUGGUCAACUGACGGUACCAUAUGAAUAAGCACCGACUAACUCCGUGCCAGCCGCCGCUGUAAUAC
rnacentral:rRNA from 1 species